CCUACGGGUGGCAGCAGUGGGGAAUAUUGCACAAUGGGGGAAACCCUGAUGCAGCGACGCCGCGUGAGUGAAGAAGCGUUUCGGCGCGUAAAGCUCUAUCAGCAGGGAAGAAAAUGACGGUACCUGAUUAAGAAGCCCCGGCUAACUACGGGCCAGCAGCCGCGGUAAUACGUAGGGGGCAAGCGUUAUCCGGAUUUACUGGGUGGAAAGGGAGCGUAGACGGCAGCACAAGUCUGGAGUGAAAUGCCGGGGCUUAACCCCGGAACUGCUUUGGAAACUGUGCAGCUAGAGUGCAGGAGAGGUAAGUAGAAUUCCUAGUGUAGCGGUGAAAUGCGUAGAUAUUAGGAGGAACACCAGUGGCGAAGGCGGCUUACUGGACUGUAACUGACGUUGAGGCUCGAAAGCGUGGGGAGCAAACAGGAUUAGAUACCCCUGUAGUC
rnacentral:rRNA from 1 species